rnacentral:hammerhead_ribozyme from 1 species
GCAUUGCUGACGAGUCCCACAAUAGAACGAAACGGCCGUCGGGUGC